GAGUUUGAUCCUGGCUCAGAUUGAACGCUAGCGGGAUGCCUUACACAUGCAAGUCGAACGGCAGCACGGACUUCGGUCUGGUGGCGAGUGGCGAACGGGUGAGUAAUGUAUCGGAACGUGCCUAGUAGCGGGGGGAUAACUACGCGAAAGCGUAGCUAAUACCGCAUACGCCCUACGGGGAAAGCAGGGGAUCGCAAGACCUUGCACUAUUAGAGCGGCCGAUAUCGGAUUAGCUAGUUGGUGGGGUAACGGCUCACCAAGGCGACGAUCCGUAGCUGGUUUGAGAGGACGACCAGCCACACUGGGACUGAGACACGGCCCAGACUCCUACGGGAGGCAGCAGUGGGGAAUUUUGGACAAUGGGGGAAACCCUGAUCCAGCCAUCCCGCGUGUGCGAUGAAGGCCUUCGGUUGUAAGCACUUUGUCAGGAAGAAACGUACAUGGUUAAUACCCGUAGAACUGACGGUACCGUCGCAGAAUAAGAC
rnacentral:rRNA from 1 species